CGGUAUCCGUUUGGUGAAUUAUUGAUCCAAAUUGAGUUGUGUGCGAAGCUUUGAAGUUGUGACUCGAAAGCAGAUUUUGUGCAGAAUUUUGGGGGACAUACCUUCACUAAAACGGUAAUUAAUCUCUCUUUGUAACUCUAAAUUUAGUGAGGUUUGAUUCUGUGGAAAGAUAACUCGAUUACGGUCAUUUUGAUAUCCGUUUGGUGAAUUAUUCAUCCAAAUUGAGUUGUGUACGAAGCUUUGAAGUUGUGACUCGAAAGCAGAAUUUUAGGGGGGGCAAAAUCCAAAAAAUUAUAAAACAGGGGUGGUAAAAGUCCGCGUUUUAAAACAGGGGGGUAAAAUUCUGAUUUAAUCAAA
rnacentral:lncRNA from 1 species